rnacentral:rRNA from 1 species
CGCGUAGGUGGCCCGUUAAGUGGUCGGUGAAAUCCCGCGGCUCAACUGCGGGGCUGCCGAUCAGACUGGCGAGCUAGAGCACGGUAGGGGCAGAUGGAAUUCCCGGUGUAGCGGUGGAAUGCGUAGAGAUCGGGAAGAAUACCAGUGGCGAAGGCGUUCUGCUGGGCCGUUGCUGACACUGAGGCGCGACAGCGUGGGGAGCAAACA